GUAGAAGGCGGACAGAAGUGUGGUCGACAUGUUUCUGGAUCCCGCAGUGGCCGGAGCGGCAGGCCGGGAGGUUGCCACAAAAAGCUUGGGCCUGAAGCUCGAAGGCCCCGGACCCGCUGGGGAAAGAACUAGGCCUGCCACUCAGGGAUUCGAGUCCCUGGAGUGUAUCCUGCAUUUCCCACUACUGUACUCCCCUCAUGGCCCAGGGAGCCAGAGUCCAGGAUCAGUAGGAUGAAAAAUGAAUGCGGAUGAAGCUACUACCCUUCCAAAGCUAUGAUUCUCAAGAUAACUAUUAGUGGGUAACACUUAUUCUGAAAUUAUAAAUGAAAAAUGGUGAGCCAGUGAAAAACUGGACCAGCAGCAAAACGUUUGCAAGAGCGCCACCUGCUGGAUGUGUGAGGAAGAGGGCUGGGCUGGGCUUGAAAAGGAAGAAAAUCAUUAAGGUUUCUAGAUUAAAAUCACUGCAAAGGAUGUGAGAGAGAGAGAGAGAGAGUGAGAGUGUGUGUGUGUGUGUGUGUUUGAGUGUUUGAGACGAGUCUCACUCUGUCGCCCAGGCUGGAGUGCAGUGGUGCGAUCUCGGCUCACUGCAACCUCCGCUUCCCGGGUUCAAGCAAUUCUCUGCCUCAGCCUCCCGAGUGGCUGGGAUUACAGGCGCCCACCACCACGCCCAGCUAAUUUUUUUUGCAUUUUUUGUAGAGACGGGGGUUUCACCAUCUUGACCAGGCUGGUCUUGAACUCCUGACCUUGUGAUCCACCCGCCUCAGCCUCCCAACAUGCUGGGAUUACAGGUGUGAAACACCGCGCCCAGCUGAUAAAUGUGUUUAAUGGCAUUUUAAGUGAGACACUUGUUACUGCCACCAAGCGAUAGGUAAACAAUGUAGGCACAGAAUAAGUCAUUUUCUCUGACUCUCCUUUCCCCAGGUUCCUCCUCACAGCUAAGAGGACGGAUAUACUUUCACUGGGUGGCAAAAUCAGGUUUCCUAGCAUUAGCAUACUUUUUGGGGGGUAGGGGAAAUGCUCAAUGGCUCUUUGAAUAAUUAGGAUGGAAUGUGUAGGUCACUGCAGGACUUAACACAUGCAGACAAUAAAAAUAAAUUAUUUGUGCAAAGUUGAUCCUGAAUUCUCCCAGGAUCCAACAUUUGGAACAUAUUUCUGCUUUGCUAAAAUGGAACAAAAUUCACAAAUCUGACCAAAUGGGCUGUUUGCCAACUAAUCCAGCCCCUACAUAAAGCCAGAAAAGGGGAGAGGGGAGGGAUCAUGUGUAUGUGCUAAAAUCCAACUCUCUGUAGUCAUUUCACAGAGAAUGCAGGGCGGCUAUGGCAGGGCAUUAGAGGCCCUGGGGGAUGAAAAAGGCUCAUUCAGGCCUGCAGGUGGCCUGCACCUGGGGACAGAGUAAAUCUGCAACGGAGUCGCCUCACUUCCUACAGUAGCAGCAAUAAAAUAGGCUGCCCUGAAUGAGUGAACUGAAGAAAAGUUUCUCUGUAAGGAGUGACAGACGACUGGACUCACAGAAGUAGGGGAGGCAUGAAUGGGAUAAAAUUUUUGAAUUUAUGUUCAACAUGUUUCCUGCAGAUUUAGUGGAGGAAAAAUCCACACAUACCCCCAUCCCAAUCCCCCAG
rnacentral:lncRNA from 1 species